AUUGAACGCUGGCGGCAUGCCUUACACAUGCAAGUCGAACGGCAGCACGGAGCUUGCUCUGGUGGCGAGUGGCGAACGGGUGAGUAAUAUAUCGGAACGUACCCAAGAGUGGGGGAUAACGUAGCGAAAGUUACGCUAAUACCGCAUACGAUCUAAGGAUGAAAGUUGGGGCUCGCAAGACCUCAUGCCCCUGGAGCGGCCGAUAUCUGAUUAGAUAGUUGGUGAGGUAAAGGCUCACCAAGGAAUCGCUCCGUAGCUGGUCUGAGAGGACGACCUGCUACACUGGAACUGAGACACGUUCCAGACUCCUAAGGGUGGCAGCAGUGGGGAAGUUUGGACAAUGGCGGCAACCCUGAUCCAGCAAGGCCGCGUGAGUGAAGAAGGCCUUCGGGUUGUAUAGCUCUUUUGUCAGGGAAGAAACGGUGAAGGCUAAUAUCCUUUGCUAAUGACGGUACCUGAAGAAUAAUCACCGGCUAACUACGUGCCAGCCGCCGCCGUAACAC
rnacentral:rRNA from 1 species